GUGGGUUAGUCACCAAAUGAACAGCCUGUUCUGAAGACAUUCUUGAGUUGUGACUUUGUGUGGGUGACUGUGUUGGUCCUUAGCUCUUAUUCUGACAGCUGACUGCUGUUAUGUUGUUCUGGGAAGGCUGCAUGCAAGCGGACACUUGAAGGAAAAAGUCUUAAGGUUCUUUAGACAUACUCUGACGCAACUGCUGGAGCGCCAGGAUUUUGUUACCAGCUGAUUAGCUGUAGUUUACACAGGGAGGAUUGCCAAGUUUACAUUGCUGUCUUUUAAAAUUGUAAUGGAGCUGGCCGCGGUGUAGCAGAAGGAUCAUUAGAGAUGGGAGCUUGCAGCUUGGAGCUGACAUCUUGCAGCUGUGGAAUAUCAUUCUGAACCGUGCUGCAUAUUUUAGUUCUGGAGUGCUUGGGGCUGUGAAGUACUAUUGCCUAAGGCCAUACAGAUGAGGCACGGGGGUCCAGCCACCUGUGUAGCAUUUUCAAGAGCGGGAGACUUCUUUGCCUCUGGAGGUUCUGAUGAACAGGUGAUGGUAUGGAAGACCAAUUUUGAUGCAGCAGACUAUGGUGAAGUGCUGAAAACACAGAAGUCUGGCUCUAGUGUGGAUGGGACCUAUCACAGUCUGGUAGGUCAGCAUGCAGAAAUUCCAUAAGGUUCCUUUCUGGAACAUUUCCUACAACUUGAAAACCAUGUGACUUGAUUUCAGGUGUUUGAGCUACAGAGCUGUCUUUUUCCUUGGUAUUAAUUUGAGUUGUAAGAUGUCUGUUAUUUCCCAGUUUGGUGUUGUUUCUGGUUUAUUUAGCUAUACUUACCUCAUAGGAAUAUUACAUAUAGAGAGAAAUAAAUUUAGUGCAUGCGCAUGCAUUUUUAUUAGCAUUAGCAUUUAGGAAUGUGUGGUAGGCUUGGACAAUGUUAUACACCUCCAUCUCUCCUUGCCCACCCACCCCCAAAAAAUAAAAAACAUGAAAAGCACGGGUGUAACAGGUAAAAGCAGAAAGCAAGCAAGCAAGCUGAAAAUAGAUGUUCAGAAUAUCUUUUCAUUGAGAGCUAACAAAGACUAAAGAAACCUCUGCGGAGAGACGUAAUGCAUGGGAGAAAUAGGUGACACGUUGUAUUAGAGCUUUGUUCCUGCCUAUUUGGAGACAUCAGUUCACAUCCAUUCCCUGAACC
rnacentral:lncRNA from 1 species